rnacentral:lncRNA from 1 species
CCUGAAGUGUGUAGAGUUCUCAAAUCCUACGUCUCUUCUUAUGUGUGUCAGGUGACUGUUUCAGAGACUCUGUGGUAUCUCAAUUGGUUUCAGAUGCUUGCAUCUGGGCAGCUGAAUCAAGACCUGAAGGUAAAUAGAGAGGAAGUUAGGAAAGAUACUUCAAUGUCUUCGAUGUUGGUAAUGCUGAAGAGCAGCAACAUGAAAUGCAUGAACAGAAGAGUCGUUUUCAGGUCUGUGAGGAAGCCAGCAAUGAGAAAGCUAACAACACUGUGGAGCUGAUUUGUCUUCAGGCUGGCUCCUGAGAUGAGCCACGUGUUUAGCCAUGCUCAAAAGCUGUCGUUAUCCCAGCUGCCAUCUUCCUUGAGAUCUAAUCCUGUAGACAAAGAAGUAAAGGAAGGGCCAGUUCUGCCCUCCUCAUGCUGACUGUAAACCCAGGCGAAUGUCACUAAGGCUGGAAUGCUGUUUUACUGAAAUGACUAUGGCAGAAUUUAACUGGGAUGAUGGUUAUGAUGGUGAUUUUAUAAGUUUCAAAAGGUAACUUGAACAAAGAUUUCAUUUGGCAGAUGUGUUAAAUAGCAAAAUACACCCUGGAAUUCAAUUUGUAUUUGAUUGCACAAUAGCUAAUUUCUUCAGCUACUUUUUUAGCUUCCUCUUAACACUUAUGUUUUUGCUUGUAAGUUUUUUGUUUGGAUAUAAUGAGGCUUUGUGUCUUCUUAUGCCUUAUCUUAUGUGGGUGGUAGAAAAAUCAUUCUACUGUUCCAGUAUUUGUGGUUGCGUGGGGCAGGUGGUUUCACGCAAAGCUGAGCAGAAUAAAGUGCAGUAAAUAGAAAAUAAAGAAGGGGAA